CCUACGGGUGGCAGCAGUGAGGAAUAUUGGUCAAUGGGCGCGAGCCUGAACCAGCCAAGUAGCGUGAAGGAUGACUGCCCUACGGGUUGUAAACUUCUUCUAUAAAGGAAUAAAGUGAGGCACGUGUGCCUUUUUGUAUGUACUUUAUGAAUAAGGAUCGGCUAACUCUGUGCCAGCAGCCGCGGUAAUACGGAGGUGCCGAGCGUUAUCCGGAUUUAUUGGGUUUAAAGGGAGCGUAGAUGGGUUGUUAAGUCAGUUGCGAAAGUUUGCGGCUCAACCGUAAAAUUGCAAUUGAUACUGGCAGCCUUGAGUACAGUUGAGGUAGGCGGAAUUCGUGGUGUAGCGGUGAAAUGCUUAGAUAUCACGAGGAACUCCGAUUGCGAAGGCAGCUUACUAAACUGCCACUGACAUUGAUGCUCGAAAGUGUGGGUAUCAAACAGGAUUAGAUACCCGGGUAGUC
rnacentral:rRNA from 1 species